GAACGCUGGCGGCGUGCCUAACACAUGCAAGUCGGAUGUGCCGCAAGGUGCAUGGCAGACGGGUGAGUAACGCGUGGGGAACCUACCUCUUUGUGGGGAAUAACGCUCCGAAAGGAGUGGUAAUACCGCAUGAGACCAGUGGCUGGGAUGCUGCUGGUGAAAGCUGGGGACCGUAAGGCCCAGCGCAAGGAGAGGGUCCUGCGUCUGAUUAGCUAGUUGGUGGGGUAACGGCCUACCAAGGCAUCGAUCAGUAGCCGGCCUGAGAGGGUGAUCGGCCACACUGGAACUGAGACACGGUCCAGACUCCUACGGGAGGCAGCAGUGGGGAAUUUUGCGCAAUGGGCGAAAGCCUGACGCAGCAACGCCGCGUGGGUGAUGAAGGUCUUCGGAUCGUAAAACCCUGUCGUCAGGGACGAAGGUUGCACGGGUAAUAUCUGUGUAGCUUGACGGUACCUGGAGAGGAAGCCCCGGCUAACUCUGUGCCAGCAGCCGCGGUAAUACAGAGGGGGCAAGCGUUAUUUGGAAUUAUUGGGCGUAAAGGGUGCGUAGGCGGUGGUUUAAGUGAGAUGUGUAAUCCCCGAGCUUAACUUGGGAACUGCAUCUCAGACUGGAUCGCUAGAGUGCUGGAGAGGGUGGUAGAAUUCCACGUGUAGCGGUGAAAUGCGUAGAGAUGUGGAGGAAUACCAGUGGCGAAGGCGGCCACCUGGACAGUAACUGACGCUGAGGCACGAAAGUGUGGGUAGCAAACAGGAUUAGAUACCCUGGUAGUCCACGCUGUAAACGAUGAACACUUGGUGUGGUGGGAGUUGACCCCUGCCGUGCCGUAGCUAACGCGAUAAGUGUUCCGCCUGGGGAGUACGGUCGCAAGGCUG
rnacentral:rRNA from 1 species